UGAAAAGGGACCUUAUUGUCGAUGGCGCUUACGCUGCACAGCGUCGCGCGGCAUUGGAUUUAUAUCGGAUCAUUAAUAAUGGCGUAAGCGCCAUCGCCAAUAAGGUCCCUUUUUAUAGAUAACGUCACAUAUUUUUAAACUAACAACACUAUUUUUCCGAGCGAUGCUCAAACGAUAGAUCGAUAAGUUCAAGUAGUAAACAUGUCAAACAGAAAGGCUACGGCCAAAAGACUUGCCGCUAAAAUAUGGAAGUAUUCAACUUCUCACAUGUAUACUAAAUCGAUUUUUUAUAAUUAUUGUGGAAAUAAGAUCGACAUUCUAGAGAGGGUAGAAUGCAUCCAUGUUUUUACACUUAAACUGUCGACGGCACAAACAGAUGUACAAUUUUCUACUUUAUCGCAAUUGAAUAAAGUUCGAGAUUGUAUAACUUUGUUCCUUCGUCAAUACAUCAAUUACGCAGCUAACUUUAAAUAUUUAUUUGUUAAUAUCCAUUAUGAGAACUAAAUGUCCUUAAAGUAAAUUCAGUGUGGAGCACAUAUAUAACCAUGACAGGAUUUUAACGAUUUCAGAGAAUAUUAACAAUAUGAAUGUAUGAGAAAUAUAUAACAGAUUGUACCUAUAUUCAAACUAAAAAUGGAUUUGAACUAAAUAUACUGGGGAAACUGUUAUUGUACGUAUGUUGAUAAGUUUUCCGAUAUUGAACUGAUAUCUAAGUCGCGUGGUAAAUAUUAUUCUGUCUGCAACUGAAAUUUACACUUCUGUAAAUAAAAGUUUAAAAUUUACAA